rnacentral:rRNA from 1 species
ACGGAAGGCAGCAGUAGGGAAUAUUGCACAAUGGGGGGAACCCUGACGCAGCAACGCCACGUGUGGGAAGAAGCAUUUCGGUGUGUAAACCACUGUCGUGAGGGAAUAAUGCUUAAUUUCGGUUAAGUUGAAUGUACCUCGAAAGGAAGCACCGGCAAACUUCGUGCCAGCAGCCGCGGUAACACGAGGGGUGCAAGCGUUGUUCGGAAUCACUGGGCAUAAAGGGAGCGCAGGCGGAGAUGCAAGCAGUCUGUACAAUCCCGGGGCCCAACCCCGGACCUGCAGUCCGGACUGCACCUCUUGGAUAGUUCAGGGGCAAGCGGAAUUCCUGGUGUAGCGGUGGAAUGCGUAGAGAUCAGGAAGAACACCGAUGGCGAAGGCAGCUUGCUGGGGACUUAUCGACGCUCAUGCUCGAAAGUGCGGGUAGCAAACAGGAUUAGAUACCCUGGUA